rnacentral:rRNA from 1 species
AGUGAACGCUGGCGGUAGGCCUAACACAUGCAAGUCGAACGGCAGCACAGUAAGAGCUUGCUCUUACGGGUGGCGAGUGGCGGACGGGUGAGGAAUACAUCGGAAUCUACUUUUUCGUGGGGGAUAACGUAGGGAAACUUACGCUAAUACCGCAUACGACCUACGGGGGAAAGCAGGGGAUCUUCGGACCUUGCGCGAUUGAAUGAGCCGAUGUCGGAUUAGCUAGUUGGCGGGGUAAAGGCCCACCAAGGCGACGAUCCGUAGCUGGUCUGAGAGGAUGAUCAGCCACCCUGGAACUGAGACACGGUCCAGACUCCUACGGGAGGCCGCAGUGGGGAAUAUUGGACAAUGGUCGCAAGCCUGAUCCAGCCAUACCGCGUGGGUGAAGAAGGCCUUCGGGUUGUAAAGCCCUUUUGUUGGGAAAGAAAAGCAGCAGGUUAAUACCCCGCUGUUCUGACGGUACCCAAAGAAUAAGCACCGGCUAACUUCGUG